rnacentral:ncRNA from 18 species
AAGCCUCCCUCACCGUGCGGUACCCUUCGGGGUUCAAAGGGGAAGCCGGUGGAAAUCCGGCGCGGGGCCGCCACCGUGACCGGGGACGAAACCCGCAGAACGCCACUGGGGCGAUCACCCUGGGAAGGUGCGGGGAGUAGGAUGAUCCGGAAGCCGGGAAACCCGCCCGCGGUGAAGGGAAACCA